CGUGUGAAUGAUGAAGCCCUUCGGGUUGUAAAGUUCUGUCGUCUCUGAGCAAGGGAUGUGCAAUAACACUGUGCAUUAUUGAGAGUAAGAGAGAAGGAAGCACCGGCUAACUCCGUGCCAGCAGCUGCGGUAAUACGGAGGGUGCAAGCGUUAGUCGGAAUUACUGGGCGUAAAGGGCGCGUAGGCGGGAGUAUACGUCAGAUGUGAAACUACUCCGCUCGAGGGUUGGAGGGGGGACUGGAAUACUUGGUGUAGCAGUGAAAUGCGUAGAUAUCAAGUGGAACACCAGUGGCGAAGGCGAGUCCCUGGACAACUCCUGACACUGAGGCACGAAAGCUAGGGGAGCAAACAGGAUUAGAUACCCUGGUAGUCCUAGCUGUAAACGGUGCACGUUUGCUGUAAAAGGAAUCGACCCCUUUUGUGGCGUAGCUAACGCGUUAAACGUGCCGCCUGGGAAGUACGGUCGCAAGAUUAAAACUCAAAGAAAUUGACGGGGGCCUGCACAAGCGGUGGAGUAUGUGGCUCAAUUCGAUGCAACGCGAAGAACCUUACCUGGCCUUGACAUGCAAGUAGUAGAAGGAUGAAAGUCUGACGAGGUAGCAAUACCAGCUUGCACAGGUGCUGCAUGGCUGUCGUCAGCUCGUGUCGUGAGAUGUUGGGUUAAGUCCCGCAACGAGCGCAACCCCUGUGUCCUGUUGCCACUCGAACGAGAGUUCGAAGCACUCUGGACAGACUGCCUCGCUUAAACGAGGAGGAAGGUGGGGAUGACGUCAAGUCAGUAUGGCCCUUACGGCCAGGGCUGCACACGUACUACAAUGCCCGGUACAAAGGGAAGCAAGACCGCGAGGUGGAGCAAAUCCCCCAAAACCGGGCCCAGUUCAGAUUGAAGGCUGCAACUCGCCUUCAUGAAGCUGGAAUCGCUAGUAAUGGCGCAUCAGCUACGGCGCCGUGAU
rnacentral:rRNA from 1 species